GCUAGGCAUGGUGGCACACACCUGUAAUCCCAGCAGCACAGGAAGCUGAGGCAGGAGGAUCAGGAGUUCAAAGCCAGGCUCAAUAACUGAGUAAGGACCUAAUGAACUUAGUGAGAUCCUGUCUCAA
rnacentral:sRNA from 1 species